CCCUGGCCCACAGACCCGACCCCAGCAGCCCAGUCGACCCCAGAUCAUGAUUGUAUUUGAGAGGAGGGGGUUAGUCAGGUGGAAAGCCAGGAUGCUGGAAGAACUGACUCUUGCAGGGGUCACACCAGGAGGUGUCUAGGCAGUCCUCCUGCCUCCUUCCCCCGCAGUACGGGGGCGAACACAUCUGGAACAGGGCGUUUGAGGCUGCAAGAGAAGGUGAGGCUACACAAAAACAAUGGCAAGCACAAUUUGGGGUUUGUCUGAGGAGGGCUCUCUCACCUGCACCUCCCACGUAACAAGUGUCAAAGCUACAGGACAGUAUUUUGUGCUUCGUUUCACGAACGACAAGACUGAAGAUCAGAGAAGGGAGCAGCGGCUUUCUCAAGGAUCCAGGGGCAAGAAACAUCAAAGUAAAAAGCCAGGAUACUCAGGAUGCUGUGGACAGACCAAGGCCUGCAACCUGUGCCACAGGCUCAGGGGAAGAGAAAACACUCAGGAAGGGAUGGAGAGGCGGACAAAGCUGAAUGAAGAGUGCCUGCCGGGAGCACUGAGAGAAGCAGAGGACUGUGGAGGGAGCACUGAGAGAAGCAGAGCAUUAUGGAAAGCCAGGAGCAGGAGAGCAGUGGGGCCCAGUGAGCUGGACAGACCUCUGCACUUGGUGGGAUUCCCAAAGCUCCCGGGGUUAUCCUGAGGUCUGCCUCUGUUGUGGAUCAGAACUCUAAAUUUGCAGCCUGCCUUCACUUGCUGCGGGACUGACUGUCUGGGAUUCCGGGGACUCAGGAUCCUAGCCUGCUAAAAGAGGUUUCUAUUUCUCCCCUCCCCCACAUCUGUGAGCCCCACCCUGUGGGAAAGAGAGACUCCCAAACUACAGCACCCUCCACCCGCCCUGCUUGGAGACACCGACCACAGACAAAGGCAUCAAGCCAUCACUUGCUACCUCUUAGAAUCCCGUCCUCAAACCUGGACUUCAUAUCCAGUAAGGAACGCAGCCCGCAGCCCGUUCACACAGUGUGGCUGGUACACAGCUAGCUAAGGAGCUGUCCCAUCCCCCCAAACCAAGAGAGCUGUUCCACCACUGAAGCCCUGCCUCUGGCCCCUCCCUAAGCCACAAGCACACACCCUAGCUAGAACUAAAGUCGAGACUCCACCCAGCCCCAUACCGCAGAUGCAGCUCAGGAGAUGGCUGAGUGGACCUGGGGGGUCUGGAAAACCUGUUGGCCUGCCUCCUGGUUCAGUCUUAUCUCCACCCACCGCUCUCUGGUUUCCCCAUCGAGGAAGACAUCCCUGCCCAGUCACUGAAGACUCUGCCUCGUGAGGGCCCUGGGUUGUUCUUCCUUAGACCCAGCGAUGCAAGGCUUGUCCCGCACAGCUGAGCUCCAGCCCCUGAGAUCUUCGGGGCUCCUACACCCGAGUAUAGAAGUGUGUCCUCAUCACCUACAGAUGUAGCACUCGGAGGGCAUCAGGCCCAGGGGACUGCAGUUGGCCUCAGAGACCGCAAAGCCAGAGCAGGUUCAUGGCUCCCACAGCUCAUCCACCUGUCACCGUCACCACAUCCAGAGCUAAACCUAUGCUGGCUUCUCUGAGCCCUUCAGGAACACAUUCCCAAAGUUGUCCUGGAGGAGGCCCUGCACGUUCAAGCUGAUGAAGCUUUGCCCUGAUUUGGGGGUGCCUCUGACGCUUCAGAAGUUCUCCUACUCCUCAGCUCCUCCUCCAGGCCUCACAUGGGAGGACUCCCAGGGUGGGGCAGGGUGCUGCAGUAAUAAAUGGAUGGA
ensembl:lncRNA